UACGGGGGGGGCAAGCGUUGUUCGGAAUUACUGGGCGUAAAGGGCUCGUAGGUGGCCAACUAAGUCAGACGUGAAAUCCCUCGGCUUAACCGGGGAACUGCGUCUGAUACUGGAUGGCUUGAGUUCGGGAGAGGGAUGCGGAAUUCCAGGUGUAGCGGUGAAAUGCGCAGAUAUCAGGAAGAACACCUAUGGCGAAGGCAGCUCUCUGGGACGGUACUGACGCUGAGACGCGAAAGCGUGGGGAGCGAACAGG
rnacentral:rRNA from 1 species